ACCGUAAGGGUGAAAAAAUUUUGGUUUUAAUUGAGAGGUUUCGAGAUGAAAGAAAAAAUUUCUUUUUGAGGUAAAAUUGGAAGGGAGUAAUUUUUUCAAAGUUGAAGCUUUAAAAAAUUAAUAAUGAGACUAGGAUUAGAUACCCUAUUAUUUUUAAAAAAAGAAAAUUAGGUAGUAUUAGAAGGCUUGAAACUUAAAGAAUUUGGCGGUGUUUUAAUCUUAUCAGAGGAACUUGUAUUAUAAGUCGAAAUUACUCGUUUUAUCUUACUUAAAUUAAAUUUGUAUAUCGUCGUAAAAAUAAAACUUUAAAGUGAAUAUUAGGGAUUAUUAGAUAGAGAAUUACAGAUCAAGGUUCAGUUAUGUUUAAGAAAAUAUGAGUUACAAUGUACUAUAAACAAAUGAAUAAUUUUUUGAAAGAAAAAUUUGAAGGUGGAUUUGAAAGUAAACUAAAAUAAAAAGCU
rnacentral:rRNA from 1 species